CUCCCUUUGUUUUACAAAGUUGUUGGUUUUAAAUAACAAAAGGAAACAACUUAAAAAAAAAAUACUACACUACACAACCAGCAGUCCACCACUUCUUCACUUCUCUUUCCCUCUUUCUCCGGCAGCCCUGAAGACCCCAACCAUCCAACCACCCCACCGCCUCCCCUAGCCGCCCUUCCGCCACCCUUCUGCUCAUCCCCGACCACCUCUAAACCACAUCGUUGAAGCACUCAGCUGCCCCUCCCCCAUCGUUGAAGCACUCAGUUGCCCCUCCCCCAUCGUCGAAGCACUCAGCUGCCCCUUCCCCCACCCUCGAAACCCCCGGUCGCUAGGUUUUGAGGGUGGGGGGAGGGGCGGUCGGUUGUUGUAAGGGGAGGGGGAGGGUUUUUUAGUGUUAUGUGUGGGUGAGGGGGGGUUUUUCGGGGAGGGGAGACAUUUUCAGGGUGAGGGGAGGGGCGGCAAAGGUCGGAGGAGGGGUGACGAACGUCUGUGAGGUGCGGCGGUUGUUCCGGUGGAGGGGAGGGUUUUUUUAAGGGUUAUGCGUGGGUGGGGGGAGGAGGAUUUUCGGGUGGGAGGAUGGGCGGUGAAGGGCGGCAUAGGGCGGUGAGGGUUGGGGGAGGGCCGACGAGCAACUGGCGAGGUGCAUCCAGCUGAUGUGGGUAUGGUGGUGGACCCCUGGUGGUUGGGGAAAGGGAAUGGAAAAGGUAGGGGGGUGGGGAAUGACAAAAGAUGCAAAACAACCACUUACAAAGGAAAAGGAGGUAGCUAAAUCUUCUAAUGAAUGGUGGAAGGCUACCCUGAAGAUACUAAAAGAAGCCUCUAUAUCCAUUGAGCUUGAAAGUCACCCUACGAUCUAUCCGUGAUGGGAGAUUCCAGCCUAUCAACAAACUUCUAGCUCGGCAAUACAGAACAACUGUUAAUUACAUAUCCAAAAGAGCUUCCAAUGACUUCUAUGAGAAAUGGCGUCAAGAGUUUGGAGUGGAUGAUCUGUCUGAAGACUCAAUGCAAAGGGCAGCUCAAACAGGCAAAAGCUCUGUGCAUGACUUCCUCGAUGUGAAUGGGAGACCCCAGCUUAUAGUGCAGGCUUCAAAACAUUACACUGGAGCCCAUCUGAUGAUGCAUGCAUAAUGGGCUAAUUACAGAUGCGUGUUUCAGAUUGAGAAAGAUCUUAGCAAGAUCCCAGAAGGCCAAGAACAGAUAUUUGGGAUAAUCGACCUCAGGGGCUUUGGUACUGACAUUUUUGUUUGAUGUCUUCUACUAUUACUAUCCAAAGAUAUUAGGCCAAGUGCUCAUGGGGGAAGUGCCUUUUGUUUUAAACCUCUUUGGCAGCUGGCAAAGCCCCUCCUGAAAAAGCAUGCAUUGCUGGUUGCUCUUGUUAAUGGUAUUGCUAUAGGUGGACUAGAGGUGCAUCAUUGCCAAGAAAAAUCGGUUUUUGCCACUCCUGAAGUUGCUAUUGGGUUUCACACUAACUGCGGCUUCUAGUACAUACAUUACUUUAAAUGGAUUAUAGCUUUAAAUUAAGGUGAUGUUGUAAAGCAAGAUUUGAAAUGGGUGGAUUUGUUUGAUGUGGAAUUAUUUAUUUUAAGACUAUAAUUUGGAUUUUGACAAUCAAAAUUCAUACUACUCUAUUGCAUAAAUCAUACCUAUUUAGAGGGUUUAGAUUUUGAAGGUUGGUUUCUAAUA